UACUAUAGGAAAUGUGCCUCUCCCCAUAGGGACCUUAAUCUCUAACCCACUCCUCAACUGAUAGAAAAGGAAUGAGAGGAAUGGUAACUUAGUCCAAGGAAAGAGGACAAAGAAAUCAUAAAACACAUGGGAUAGUUCCACCCCUAAAACUCCUAUUGGACAAGGACUGAUAUAGGAAACUUGGCAAGGCCAAUGGGAGAAAACCCCAUCUUUCUGGACCCCAUGUUGGUACCCCCCCCCCCCGCCAUCUUUAAGGGAUAAAAACUCUUAUAGGACAAUACAGAGUGGGUGGCUCUUCUGCCCCUUCCCAGCAGCCUGGGAGCUAUUUGCUUUCCUGUAAUAAAGACUGCUUGCUUGCUGCCUGUGUGUUCCCGGAGUUCAUUCUUUGACUGCGUGAACAAGAACCCAGAUUCUGGUAACAUCUUUCCGGCAUCACUUUCAUGUUCACUGUAUUUCAGAGUUUAGAUUAGUGACUGACUCCUGUAGUUGGCGCUCAGUACUUAGCAUGGUGUGUCUGAAAAAUUACAAAGAGCCCAUUGUUGCUUAGACAAGGGAAGGAGUCACCAGAGAUGAAAAUGGAAGACAGGUCAAGAUAGGUUGCCUAGGACCGCAUGAGCCUGGACGUAAUCAGUGGGGGUUAAUGAAUGGAGGUGAAUGAUCAGUAUGUGUUUUGGACAGGUUCCUCGGGCUGCAUUGUCACAUGUGCAUUGGAUGGGGUAGAGACUAGAGAUCUGGGGUUGGGAGCCAGGUUAGUGUAGAAAGGAGACAGCCUGGACAGAUACGACUUUGUCCUAGAACUGAAGGGACCACUGCUGAAGAGGAGAAAUCUCUAAUAACAUAGGUUUCCAUCUGGGCCCAGAGGUUGAAGUAUGAUACUGUCAACUAGAAUGGGCAUACGAGCAGAGGGAUGAGACCAGUCCUGGAGUUGUGUGUAUGAAAUGCUUGAAGGAAGUUUAAGAGGUGGCUCUUGGGACCUGGAAGACCUACAUUCCCUACACAUAAAGGGGGUAGAACUUGGGAACCAGCGGCAAGGUGGGUCUCACAUGAGUAAAAACUCAAAUUCCCCCAAAAAACUCAAAUGGAACCACCCCUGUGGUAUUGCCACUUCUGCUUUCUUCUAGAAGCUAGCGCUGAAGCUGACCUCAGGACUAUCUUAUUUUCCGAAAGAUCUGAACUGCAGAGGGUCAUUCUGCCCUUGAAAAGAAACCAAGAUAAAAGGAAACAGCUCUCAGGAAUUAUAAGCAAAACACAACCAGACACUCACUGCGGAUUGCCCCAUUUUCCACCUCUUUAAUGUUUACUGAAUGCCUGCUAUGUGCAAGAUACUGAUUCUUCCUCUGCUGUGACUUUUGGAUAAUCCAGACUUGAAUUGAGGGGGCAUUGCUGGCUUGAAAAUGAUCCAAGAGCAGAAGAAACACUUCUCAAAAUCAUCCACCAAACAAACAAAAAUUGAGAAACGUAGAUUUUUUGUUUGUUUUUUCUCUUCAAGAAUGAACCAGGACUCUAACUUUGGGUUUUCAGUAAGUCAUAUAUCCUGUCUACUAAAGCCUUCCAUUUUCAUUUUUUGAUUCAUCUUAUCUGUAAGACGAAUUAAUCACACACUUCUAUGACUUCUCCUUUGGCCACGUUAUCAUUCUCAGACUGUCCUGAAUUGAAUUAUUAGGAAAUACAGGCCUUGGAAAUGAAGCCAAGAUAAAAGGAAAAUACUCAUGUCCCUACUUUCCCUUAGGAAAUAAAGCAGAUUAAAGUA